UUUAACGAGAGAGUUCGAUCCUGGCUCAGGAUGAACGCUGGCGGCGUGCCUAACACAUGCAAGUCGAACGGAAAUUACAGAAGGAAGUUUUCGGAUGGAAUUUUGUAAUUUUAGUGGCGGACGGGUGAGUAACACG
rnacentral:rRNA from 1 species